rnacentral:rRNA from 1 species
CUACGGGGGGCUCCAGUGGGGAAUAUUGCACAAUGGAGGAAACUCUGAUGCAGCAACGCCGCGUGGAGGAUGACACUUUUCGGAGCGUAAACUCCUUUUAUAUAGGAAGAAGAUGACGGUACUAUAUGAAUAAGCGCCGGCUAACUCCGUGCCAGCAGCCGCGGUAAUACGGAGGGCGCAAGCGUUACUCGGAAUCACUGGGCGUAAAGAGCGUGUAGGCGGAUUAAAAAGUCAGAAGUGGAAUCCUAUAGCUUAACUAUAGAACUGCUUCUGAAACUCUUAAUCUAGUAUGUGGGAGAGGUAGAUGGAAUUUCUGGUGUAGGGGUAAAAUCCGUAGAGAUCAGAAGGAAUACCGAUUGCGAAGGCGAUCUACUAGAACAUUAUUGACGCUGAGACGCAAAAGCGUGGGGAGCAAACAGGAUUAGAUACCCCAGUAGUC